rnacentral:rRNA from 1 species
ACAGCAGUCGCCGCGGUAAUACAGAGGGUGCGAGCGUUAAUCGGAUUUACUGGGCGUAAAGCGUGCGUAGGCGGCUUUUUAAGUCGGAUGUGAAAUCCCUGAGCUUAACUUAGGAAUUGCAUUCGAUACUGGGAAGCUAGAGUAUGGGAGAGGAUGGUAGAAUUUCAGGUGUAGCGGUGAAAUGCGUAGAGAUCUGGAGGAAUACCGAUGGCGAAGGCAGCCAUCUGGCCUAAUACUGACGCUGAGGUACGAAAGCAUGGGGAGCAAACAGGAUUAGAUACCCCAGUAGUCCCUGUCUCUUAUAA